AACGAACGCUGGCGGCAUGCCUAACACAUGCAAGUCGAACGAUACCUUCGGGUCUAGUGGCGCACGGGUGCGUAACGCGUGGGAACCUGCCCUUAGGUUCGGAAUAACUCCCCGAAAGGGGUGCUAAUACCGGAUAAUGUCUUCGGACCAAAGAUUUAUCGCCUUUGGAUGGGCCCGUGUUGGAUUAGCUAGUUGGUAGGGUAAAAGCCUACCAAGGCGACGAUCCAUAGCUGGUCUGAGAGGAUGAUCAGCCACACUGGGACUGAGACACGGCCCAGACUCCUACGGGAGGCAGCAGUGGGGAAUAUUGGACAAUGGGCGAAAGCCUGAUCCAGCAAUGCCGCGUGAGUGAUGAAGGCCUUAGGGUUGUAAAGCUCUUUUACCCGGGAUGAUAAUGACAGUACCGGGAGAAUAAGCUCCGGCUAACUCCGUG
rnacentral:rRNA from 1 species